rnacentral:rRNA from 1 species
AUUGAACGCUGGCGGCAGGCCUAACACAUGCAAGUCGAGCGGAUGAAGGGAGCUUGCUCCUGGAUUCAGCGGCGGACGGGCGAGUAAUGCCUAGGAAUCUGCCUGGUAGUGGGGGAUAACGUCCGGAAACGGGCGCUAAUACCGCAUACGUCCUGAGGGAGAAAGUGGGGGAUCUUCGGACCUCACGCUAUCAGAUGAGCCUAGGUCGGAUUAGCUAGUUGGUGGGGUAAAGGCCUACCAAGGCGACGAUCCGUAACUGGUCUGAGAGGAUGAUCAGUCACACUGGAACUGAGACACGGUCCAGACUCCUACGGGAGGCAGCAGUGGGGAAUAUUGGGCAAUGGGCGAAAGCCUGAUCCAGCCAUGCCGCGUGUGUGAAGAGGGUCUUCGGAUUGUAAAGCACUGUAAGUUGGGAGGAAGAGCAGUAAGUUAAUACCUUGCUGUUUUGACGUUACCAACAGAAUAAGCACCGGCUAACUUCGUG